UACGUAGGGUGCAAGCGUUGUCCGGAAUUAUUGGGCGUAAAGAGCUUGUAGGCGGUUUGUCGCGUCUGCUGUGAAAUUUCGGGGCUCAACCCCGAACUUGCAGUGGAUACGGGCAGACUAGAGUGCGGUAGGGGAGACUGGAAUUCCUGGUGUAGCGGUGGAAUGCGCAGAUAUCAGGAGGAACACCGAUGGCGAAGGCAGGUCUCUGGGCCGCAACUGACGCUGAGGAGCGAAAGCAUGGGGAGCGAACAGG
rnacentral:rRNA from 1 species